GAUGAACGCUGGCGGCGUGCCUAAUACAUGCAAGUCGAGCGAACAGAUGAGGAGCUUGCUCCUCUGACGUUAGCGGCGGACGGGUGAGUAACACGUGGAUAACCUACCUAUAAGACUGGGAUAACUUCUGGAAACCGCAUCUAAUACCGGAUAAUAUAUUGAACCACAUGGUUCAAUAGUGGAAGACGGUUUUGCUGUCACUUAUAGAUCGAUCCGCUGCGCAUUAGCUAGUUGGUAAGGUAACGGCUUACCAAGGCAACGAUGCGUAGCCGAACUGAGAGGGUGAUCGGCCAGACUGGAACUGAGAAACGGUCCAGACUGCUACGGGAGGCAGCCGUAGGGAAUCUUCCGCAAUGGGCGAAAGACUGACGGAGCAACGCCGAGUGAGUGAUGAAGGUCUUCGGAUCGUAAAACUCUGUUAUUAGGGAAGAACAAAUGUGUAAGUAACUAUGCACGUCUUGACGGUAACUAAUCAGAAAGCCACGGCUAACUAAGUG
rnacentral:rRNA from 1 species